rnacentral:rRNA from 1 species
GACGAACGCUGGCGGCGUGCUUAACACAUGCAAGUCGAACGGAAAGGCCUUGCUUUUGUGGGGUGCUCGAGUGGCGAACGGGUGAGUAACACGUGAGUAACCUGCCCUUGACUUUGGGAUAACUUCAGGAAACUGGGGCUAAUACCGGAUAGGAGCUCCUGCUGCAUGGUGGGGGUUGGAAAGUUUCGGCGGUUGGGGAUGGACUCGCGGUUUAUCAGCUUGUUGGUGGGGUAGUGGCUUACCAAGGCUUUGACGGGUAGCCGGCCUGAGAGGGUGACCGGCCACAUUGGGACUGAGAUACGGCCCAGACUCCUACGGGAGGCAGCAGUGGGGAAUAUUGCACAAUGGGCGGAAGCCUGAUGCAGCAACGCCGCGUGCGGGAUGACGGCCUUCGGGUUGUAAACCGCUUUCGCCUGUGACGAAGCGUGAGUGACGGUAAUGGGUAAAGAAGCACCGGCUAACUACGUG